GACGUAGGUGGCGAACGUUAUCCGGAAUCAUUGGGCGUAAAGGGUGCGUAGGCGGCAUGAUAAGUUAUUGGCGGCAAAUCGAGGCUCAACCUCGUGGAAACUGAUAAUACUGUCUUGCUUGAGUGCAGAAGAGGUUAACGGAACUCCAUGUGGAGCGGUAAAAUGUGUAGAUAUCAUUUGGAACGCCAACGGUGAAACAGCUGGCUGGGGGUGUGCUGACGCUGAGACACGAAAGCCAGGGGAGCGAACGGG
rnacentral:rRNA from 1 species